GAUGAACGCUAGCUACAGGCUUAACACAUGCAAGUCGCGGGGCAGCAUUUUCCUAGCUUGCUAGGGAAGAUGGCGACCGGCGCACGGGUGAGUAGCGCGUAUCCAACCUUCCCAUGUCCACGGGAUAGCCCGUCGAAAGGCGGAUUAAUACCGUAUGAGGUCACAUGCGGGCAUCUAAGUGUGACGAAAGGUUUAGCGGACAUGGAUGGGGAUGCGUCCGAUUAGCUAGUUGGCGGGGUAACGGCCCACCAAGGCGACGAUCGGUAGGGGUUCUGAGAGGAAGGUCCCCCCANACUGGAACUGAGACACGGUCCAGACUCCUACGGGAGGCAGCAGUGAGGAAUAUUGGUCAAUGGGCGCAAGCCUGACCAGCCAAGUAGCGUGCAGGACGACGGCCCUAAUGGGUUGUAAACUGCUUUAUAAGGGAAUAAGUAGAGUCUCGUGAGACUUUUUGCAUGUACCUUAUGAAUAAGGACCGGCUAAUUCCGUG
rnacentral:rRNA from 1 species